UACGGAGGGUGCGAGCGUUAAUCGGAAUCACUGGGCGUAAAGGGUGCGUAGGCGGGUCUUUAAGUCAGGGGUGAAAUCCUGGAGCUCAACUCCAGAACUGCCUUUGAUACUGAAGAUCUUGAGUUCGGGAGAGGUGAGUGGAACUGCGAGUGUAGAGGUGAAAUUCGUAGAUAUUCGCAAGAACACCAGUGGCGAAGGCGGCUCACUGGCCCGAUACUGACGCUGAGGCACGAAAGCGUGGGGAGCAAACAGG
rnacentral:rRNA from 1 species